UGGGCCUCAUGGGCCAAAUACUCAUAUACUCUAACAGCAGGGCUCUUUCUCAAAUUGUACAUUCUUCUAACCUGAGGAUUCUCACUUUAUCUACACAUGAUUCUGAGUUGUCAAGCAUUAUCAUCUCAGGAAGUACCUAACACCCUGUACAGAAAACUGGUUAGUAUCCUAUAUGCAAAAUUGGUUAGUCCCAUACAAUAUUUACAAGUUCAAUCCAUAUUUUGUUAAUCUACUGCCUGUUGCUUUUGCUAUUUGGUUGCCUUUUGUUUAUAAUCAUCAUGUAGUUCGAACUUCGGAACAUUUGUAUUAGAGUUGAGAAAACACAACAUACUGAAGUGUUAGUUUAGCUGUUUUGGAAUGCCUCACAGCUUGCAAAACAUGCUACACCUAAUUUCAAGUUGUCUUGGGGUCACUGCUACAGAAAUAAGUACCUGUUAGUUUAUUUGUUCACUCUCGAUCUAUUUAUUUGUUUUGACAGUUCACUAGAAUAGUUUCUUAGAUUGUCGAACCUUGUUUUACUACUUGCCUUUUGCAUCCUUAUGUUAACUACAACAGUAAUUACUUCUGAAAUCUGAUGUCCUAAUUUCGUUGCGCAAUACUGGGCUGAUUUGUUGUACCAUCAAAAUAAUUUACCAUUUGCUUUGUUGUAUUCCAAGUUAGUGUAACUGUUGGGGUUUGAUGAACUUAAUGUCUGUAUGUAUUCUCACUUUCUCACUCCUUCCUUAAUUGAGAGGCAGAGCUCCUGCCAUUCCUUCAAAAACAAAAUGUAUUCUCACUUUCUCAGUAUAUGCAGGAUUCUUAUUCUGAUUACAUAGUGGUGAAUGGGGCUAACCUCGAAUACUACCAUAAUGCCACUACCUUUUGUAGAUCAUCUCCAUCGGAUCCUCCUAACUGAUAUAAUAUAACUCUGAGAUCAGAUUAUAGUAGUGCAAGGUAAUUGCUCUUUGUUGUUUCCUAAUCACGUGAGCAUUAAGCCAUUUUUACAAAUACUAUGUGCCUAUGUUCUACAAGUGCUCCUUGACACGAACCCUGCUUAUUUUAACCUGCAGUGCACAAGGGUUCAUCAAUUCUUUGAGCUGUACAUCGUAUAAUCUUGUUGGAUCUUUCUGAAAACACUGUUGCACUCUAGGGAAUUGAAUGUGUGUUCUGUUUGUUAGAAAAUGCUUUUGCCAAAGGUAAUUAUACUAUGCAUGCUAGUUUUAAUGUUACCCGUGGGCAAAAAAUAGUGAGGUUGGAAUUAUUUGUGCUAUUUUGGCUGUUCAGAAGAUUGUUGUGUGCCCACGUUUGAGACUAUAUAAAUGAUGCAACAUAACAAGAUAUUUCUUCUCAAAGGAUGAGGAUGAUUUUGAGGGCAAUAGCUGAAGAUGUUGAACUGAGCUUUUUUCUAAAGGAAAAACUGAAUGUUCUUCCAUCCGUUUUAAAGAAAAUCAUCGUCCAUAUUUCUACAAAUCACAGCAACAAUAACAAGGAUACGUAUGCACUAUGUCCUGGUAGCAGAUUGCUAACUAGGAUGCAUUGUAUAGUCCUGAUCAGCCAACUAAAGAUCAGAAAGUAACAUCUAUGCUGCUCAACUGCACGUGCAAAUAUGGGUAUCUUGUGAUAUAACUAUAAGUGCUUGGCUGUUUCAUGAAGUUAUUGUUUACAUCAGUUUUGUAGAGCAUGAGCAUAUCCUUUGAAGGUUGAACCCCAAAUGCGGCCAUGGAACAUAUAUGUGUGCAAAAGUUAUGGUAAUGAAGGCAAUAUUCUGUUACUGCAACAGCCAAAAUGAUUAUUGUUAAGUGCAUGCAACUUUAUCUGCUAAGUCCUCAAGUAUGAAGUCUUCAACUACAUGUUGCAUAUUAUUUCCUAAGCCUGCUGUCAACAGACCUAAUGUUCUGGACUCUUGCCUACAGGCUACGGCCUUUUACAUGGAUGAUCUGGUAAACUAAAAAUACCUCAAAGUUCAGCUUCUUGAGCUCGUGGGGCCUUCAUAUGAAAAAUAGAAUUUGGUAAGUCCCUCGAGUAUACUAAAUUAUGCUUUAGUUCCUUCUUUUUCCUUUUUGUUAUGGACUAUUCUGAAAUGUUUACUUCGGUGAAGUGGUGAACACUUACAUUACAUCUUUAUUGAUAUUUUUGCCACAAGAUGUAAUGAGAAAGGUAGUGGCAGAAAUGUGCAGUGUUUGGUAUUCUGAAAACAUGUUAAAUCAGUUCAAGAUGUUGAGACACAAUCGAAUUAUAAAUGUUUUCAUGUGAGGCCAUCCCAAAUGAUGCAGAUAUCAUUCAAUUCAUGCUGUUGCUUAGUAAAUUACCGAGCCGCUAUGAAAUGUCCAUGAUAAUAGCAUGCAUCACUUCAGUAUUUUCUAAUUGUGUGUAACUUGUUCCCUUUAGUAAAUUUGCUAUCCUGGUGAAAAAUGAAAUGCUACCUUUGGACACUCUUUUUUAUUUAUUAGAUUAUAAAGGAGAUGUACAUAUCUGACAUGGUUUUUGCAGAUAAUAAACUGUUAUUCUGUUAAUUGGCAAGCUCUAGUGCACAAGUAAUUUUAAUUCUCAUUAUUAUGCUAUAAGAACUUGUUUCCUUAUACUUUGUUUCAUUUAUUAUAGUGUAAUGGAAAUUUUCUUCACAGAUUUCUUCUUUUCUUUCUUCAUGCAGCAAACAUUGAUGGAAAAGAUAAAUAAGAAGAUCUACAAGUGCCAUUCUUUUUUGAAAAAAUACAAGCGCCAUUCUCAAUCAGUUUAGUUAGCAUUACAGAUAGUUAGAUAUCAUAGUUAUGUUUUUCUUUUUACCAUGAAUUAUGUUUUUACUUGUCAUGCUUUCCAUGGCUCAGGAGCACAACUUCUUUUUCUGCUGGACCACAAGCUAUCCUGCUCAAGUGUGAAAUGCAAGCUUGCCUAACUAUUGCUGACAACAGUGUAAGAGCUUCACUUUUGUCGAUCUUCGGAAUUCAUUUACAAAAGGCAGCUACUGUGAAAAGUCUCCUAAUGUUCCUCUGGUUUCUAGAUCAAACAUUGCAUGGCAGCAGUAUUGGCAUGAAGGUUUGGUUGAAUCAACGGGGGUUCUGGCACUUAAGAAGUCAACAAGAAACUACUACUCUAUUCAUCGGAGCAAUUUCAGAUAUUCCUGCUUGGGUCCUACUCGUUCUAUGAUCUACCUGUUGAUUGGCAGGUCCGGCCAGUGCCGUCUUAAGCAGCUGUGAACCAAGUGCUCCUUCACAAUGCACUCAUCUAGUUCAACAGAAUAGCUGCAUGAAAUCGAUGGUGCUCACACCCGCAAGCACUCAUUCCGUAUGAGGUGAGAGAUACACUUUUCUCAGGCCCUUUUGUGAUGUCAGUAGACAUUAUAAAUGCCGUGUUUUUUUCUGGGGAGAAAUAUUGAUCAAGCUUUUUUUCCUUGUUGAUCUCUUUUGCAGGAAUUAUGUCCCAAAUCUUGCCAAGAUUACAGUUAUCUUCAGAAUCAAUCGCUACUGUACAUCAUUUGGUUUGAUGUUGAGCAAGGUUUGCAGCAUUCGUCAGGUUCUUGCCAACGCAAGGAUGGCAGGACGAAGCUAAGUUGAAGAUUCUGGCAAAAUCGACCAGGGCAUUAUUGUACUUGUGGACAUCCAACAUCCUCAAAAACUCAGAGCAUGCUUUAGAGAUUAGGGAAGGGGGUCUAACGAUCUACUGCUGUUUGAGACCUCUAAUGUUAUUAGCUGGAUUGUUUUCAGUAAUACUUAUGGUUGUGCACUGAUAUGUUGCCGAGAGUAUUUUGGCAAUCGCUCUGAAAAUGGAAAGACCACCGUUUAUGUACUUUGUGAUGAUUUUGGCAAAAAGAAAACAAAAAAAAUGUUUAAACGAUAUUGUUUCUUACAGUACAUUUUAAAAAUUAACCAUCAGGUGAAACAUAUCAUCCAAUCAAAUUGCUGGGUAAAUUUUGACAUUUUUUUCCCCACCUCUUUGCUAAUAAGGCUGGAUACGGUGUUUAAAAUUUCAAACUAUAAUAUUUUCAAAAUAUUUUGUCAACUGUUUUAGAAACUUUACUACGUGCAUACAAAUGAAAAAAAAAAAGGUCUCUCCACGAUUUAUAACAUAACAAAAAGAAAAAUAGUGAAGGAAAAAAGAAGGAAUACCUAGAGAAAGGAGGCCCUCUUCUUCUCAAACCCAAUCCGUCAAGUCGUCUUGUGGGCCCAGGCUUCGCAGGACCUCGCCGCCGGCGAUGGCAGCUUCGAUUCCCUUCUCCGCUCGCUCUCUGCGGCCUCACGGGACUCUGCUGCAGCCGCCGAACCCAACCUCCUCAGAUCCGUAACAGCAUCUCCCUUCCAUCCCCUCUACAAAUCUCCUGCUGUACACGAGCAUUCCUAGGAUUGCU
rnacentral:lncRNA from 1 species